rnacentral:rRNA from 1 species
CUACGGGAGGCAGCAGUGGGGAAUAUUGGACAAUGGGGGAAACCCUGAUCCAGCAAUGCCGCGUGUGUGAAGAAGGCCUGCGGGUUGUAAAGCACUUUCGGUUGGGAGGACUGCUUCUAGCACUAAUAUUGUUGGAAGUUGACGUUACCUUCAGAAGAAGCACCGGCUAACUCCGUGCCAGCAGCCGCGGUAAUACGGAGGGUGCAUGCGUUAAUCGGAAUUACUGGGCGUAAAGUGCGCGUAGGCGGCUAGAUCAGUCGGGUGUGAAAGCCCCGGGCUUAACCUGGGAACUGCAUCCGAUACUGUCUAGCUUGAGUACAGGAGAGGAGAGUGGAAUUCCACAUGUAGCGGUGAAAUGCGUAGAUAUGUGGAGGAACACCAAUGGCGAAGGCAGCUCUCUGGCCUGAUACUGACGCUGAGGUGCGAAAGCGUGGGGAGCAAACAGGAUUAGAUACCCCCGUAGUC